GACAUAGGUCGCAAACGUUAUCCGGAAUUAUUGGGCGUAAAGGAUGCGUAGAUGGUUCAGUAAGUUACUGGUGGGAAAUCGAGGCUCAACCUCGUGGAAGUCAGUAAUACUGCUGAACUUGAGUGCAGGAGAGGUUAACGGAACUUUAUGUGGAGCGGUAAAAUGCGUAGAUAUCAGGAGGAACACCGGUGGCGAAGGCGGGUCUCUGGGCCGAUACUGACGCUGAGGAGCGAAAGCGUGGGGAGCGAACAGG
rnacentral:rRNA from 1 species